rnacentral:rRNA from 1 species
UGCGAACUCCUACGGGAGGGAGCAGUAGGGAAUCUUCGGCAAUGGACGAAAGUCUGACCGAGCAACGCCGCGUGAGUGAAGAAGGUUUUCGGAUCGUAAAGCUCUGUUGUAAGAGAAGAACGGGUGUGAGAGUGGAAAGUUCACACUGUGACGGUAUCUUACCAGAAAGGGACGGCUAACUACGUGCCAGCAGCCGCGGUAAUACGUAGGUCCCGAGCGUUGUCCGGAUUUAUUGGGCGUAAAGCGAGCGCAGGCGGUUAGAUAAGUCUGAAGUUAAAGGCUGUGGCUUAACCAUAGUACGCUUUGGAAACUGUUUAACUUGAGUGCAGAAGGGGAGAGUGGAAUUCCAUGUGUAGCGGUGAAAUGCGUAGAUAUAUGGAGGAACACCGGUGGCGAAAGCGGCUCUCUGGUCUGUAACUGACGCUGAGGCUCGAAAGCGUGGGGAGCGAACAGGAUUAGAUACACGAGUAGUCCAGAUG